CUGAGUAUUGAGGUCUUUGUCUGCCCCCUUUCACAAGGGAGUAGCAAUACCUUUUUUUCUCUCCACCCUUUGUUAUUAUUUCAUUAGUUGCUUUGGUAACCGAUUACUUAUUGGUUACCAAGGGAGUUAUUAAACCUUCUUGAUUAUCUAAUAGUUGAUACCCUUCUGUCGUAGUUAUUACUUCAAUAGUAUAUA
rnacentral:misc_RNA from 1 species